AUUGAACGCUAGCGGCAUGCCUUACACAUGCAAGUCGAACGGCAGCGCGGGAGCAAUCCUGGCGGCGAGUGGCGAACGGGUGAGUAAUACAUCGGAACGUACCCAGUAGUGGGGGAUAACGUAGCGAAAGCUACGCUAAUACCGCAUACGCACUACGGUGGAAAGCGGGGGAUCGCAAGACCUCGCGCUAUUGGAGCGGCCGAUGGCAGAUUAGCUUGUUGGUGGGGUAAAAGCCUACCAAGGCGACGAUCUGUAGCUGGUCUGAGAGGACGACCAGCCACACUGGGACUGAGACACGGCCCAGACUCCUACGGGAGGCAGCAGUGGGGAAUUUUGGACAAUGGGGGCACCCCUGAUCCAGCAAUGCCGCGUGUGUGAAGAAGGCCUUCGGGUUGUAAAGCACUUUUGGCGGGAACGAAACGGCCUGAGCUAAUACCUCGGGCUAAUGACGGUACUCGCAGAAUAAGCACCGGCUAACUACGUGCCAGCCGCCGCGGUAACAC
rnacentral:rRNA from 1 species